AACUCCUACGGGAGGCAGCAGUGGGGAAUUUUGGACAAUGGGCGCAAGCCUGAUCCAGCAAUGCCGCGUGAGUGAAGAAGGCCUUCGGGUUGUAAAGCUCUUUCAGUCGAGAAGAAAAGAUUGUGACUAAUAAUUGCAGUCAUGACGUAUCAACAGAAGAAGCACCGGCUAACUACGUGCCAGCAGCCGCGGUAAU
rnacentral:rRNA from 1 species